AAUGAACGUUGGCGGCGUGGAUUAGGCAUGCAAGUCGAGCGGGUGUAGUAAUACAUCAGCGGCGAAAGGGAGAGUAACGCGUAGUUACGUGCCCCGAGGUCCAGAAUAGCUACGGGAAACUGUAGGUAAUGCUGGAUAAUAUCUCCGGAUCAAAGGUGUGAUUCCGCCUCGGGAGCGGACUGCGUCCUACUAGCUAGUUGGCGGGGUAAUGGCCCACCAAGGCAACGAUGGGUAGCGGGUGUGAGAGCAUGACCCGUCUCACUGGGACUGAGACACUGCCCAGACACCUACGGGUGGCUGCAGUCGAGAAUCUUCGGCAAUGAGCGCAAGCUUGACCGAGCGACGCCGCGUGCGGGAUGAAGGCCUUCGGGUUGUAAACCGCUUUCGGUUGGGAGGAAAUCGCUAGGGGUUCUCCCCUAGUGUUGACCUAUCUUCGGAAGAAGGACGGGCUAAGUUCGUGCCAGCCGCCGCCGUAAGAC
rnacentral:rRNA from 1 species